CCCUCUAGAGAUAGAGUUUUCCCCUUCGGGGGACAGAGUGACAGGUGGUGCAUGGUUGUCGUCAGCUCGUGUCGUGAGAUGUUGGGUUAAGUCCCGCAACGAGCGCAACCCUUAAGCUUAGUUGCCAUCAUUAAGUUGGGCACUCUAAGUUGACUGCCGGUGACAAACCGGAGGAAGGUGGGGAUGACGUCAAAUCAUCAUGCCCCUUAUGAUUUGGGCUACACACGUGCUACAAUGGACAAUACAAAGGGUAGCAAAACCGCGAGGUCAAGCAAAUCCCAUAAAGUUGUUCUCAGUUCGGAUUGUAGUCUGCAACUCGACUACAUGAAGCUGGAAUCGCUAGUAAUCGUAGAUCAGCAUGCUACGGUGAAUACGUUCCCGGGUCUUGUACACACCGCCCGUCACACCACGAGAGUUUGUAACACCCGAAGCCGGUGGAGUAACCUUUUGGAGCUAGCCGUCGAAGGUGGGACAAAUGAUUGGGGUGAAGUCGUAACAAGGUAGCCGUAUCGGAAGGUGCGGCUGGAUCACCUCCUUU
rnacentral:rRNA from 1 species